AGUGAACGCUGGCGGUAGGCCUAACACAUGCAAGUCGAACGGCAGCACAGUAAGAGCUUGCUCUUACGGGUGGCGAGUGGCGGACGGGUGAGGAAUACAUCGGAAUCUACUUUUUCGUGGGGGAUAACGUAGGGAAACUUACGCUAAUACCGCAUACGACCUACGGGUGAAAGCAGGGGAUCUUCGGACCUUGCGCGAUUGAAUGAGCCGAUGUCGGAUUAGCUAGUUGGCGGGGUAAAGGCCCACCAAGGCGACGAUCCGUAGCUGGUCUGAGAGGAUGAUAAGCCACACUGGAAGUGAGACACGGCCCAGACUCCUACGGGAGGCAGCAGUGGGGAAUAUUGGACAAUGGGCGCAAGCCUGAUCCAGCCAUACCGCGUGGGUGAAGAAGGCCUUCGGGUUGUAAAGCCCUUUUGUUGGGAAAGAAAAGCAGCAGGUUAAUACCCAGCUGUUCUGACGGUACCCAAAGAAUAAGCACCGGCUAACUUCGUG
rnacentral:rRNA from 1 species